rnacentral:rRNA from 1 species
UAGGGAAUCUCCACAAUGGACGCAAGUCUGAUGGAGCAACGCCGCGUGAGUGAAGAAGGUUUUCGGACCGUAAAGCUCUGUUGUUGGUGAAGAAGGAUAGAGGUAGUAACUGGCCUUUAUUUGACGGUAAUCAACCAGAAAGUCACGGCUAACUACGUGCCAGCAGCCGCGGUAAUACGUAGGUGGCAAGCGUUGUCCGGAUUUAUUGGGCGUAAAGCGAGCGCAGGCGGAAGAAUAAGUCUGAUGUGAAAGCCCUCGGCUUAACCGAGGAAUUGCAUCGGAAACUGUUUUCUUGAGUGCAGAAGAGGAGAGUAGAACUCCAUGUGUAGCGGUGGAAUGCGUAGAUAUAUGGAAGAAUACCAGUGGCGAAGGCGGCUCUCUGGUCUGCAACUGACGCUGAGGCUCGAAAGCAUGGGUAGCGAACAGGAUUAGAUACCCUUGGUAGUCCAUGCCGUAAACGAUGAGUGCUAAGUGUUGGGAGGCUUCCGCCUCUCAGUGCUGCAGCUAACGCAUUAAGCACUCCGCCUGGGGGAGUACGACCGCAAGGUUGAAAC